rnacentral:tRNA from 1 species
GUAGGCAUAGUUUAAUAAAAAUGCUAGAUUGUGAUUCUAGAGACAGAUGUUAAAACCCUCUUGCCCACC